rnacentral:rRNA from 1 species
AGUGAACGCUGGCGGCGUGCUUAACACAUGCAAGUCGAACGAGAACGGAAUAUAGCUUGCUAUAUAUGUCAGCUAAGUGGCGCACGGGUGAGUAAUGUAUAGAUAACCUGCCCUUAAGAAAGGAAUAACAGUCGGAAACGACUGCUAAUGCCCUAUAUGCCUCUAAUACAUCAGUAUGCAAGGGAACCGCUUUGGUGCUUAAGGAUGGGUCUGUAUGGUAUCAGCUUGUUGGUGAGGUAAUGGCUCACCAAGGCUAUGACGCCUAACUGGUUUGAGAGGAUGAUCAGUCACACUGGAACUGAGACACGGUCCAGACUCCUACGGGAGGCGGCAGUGGGGAAUAUUGCACAAUGGACGAAAGUCUGAUGCAGCAACGCCGCGUGGAGGAUGACACAUUUCGGUGCGUAAACUCCUUAUAUAGGAAGAUAAUGACGGUACUAUAUGAAUAAGCACCGGCUAACUCCGUGCCAGCAGCCGCCGCCG